UCUUUGGAGAGUUUGAUCCUGGCUCAGGACGAACGCUGGCGGCGUGCCUAAUACAUGCAAGUCGAGCGAAC
rnacentral:rRNA from 1 species